rnacentral:rRNA from 1 species
CCUACGCGUGGCAGCAGUGGGGAAUAUUGCACAAUGGGGGAAACCCUGAUGCAGCGACGCCGCGUGAGUGAAGAAGGAUUUCGGAACGUAAAGCUCUAUCAGCAGGGAAGAAAAUGACGGUAACUGACUAAGAAGCCCAGGCUAACUACGUGCCAGCAGCCGCGGUAAUACGGAGGGAGCAAGCGUUAUCCGGAUUUAAUGGGUGUAAAGGGAGCGUAGGCGGCAGCGCAAGUCUGAAGUGAAAUCCCAAGGCUGAACCAUGGAACUGCUUUGGAAACUGUGCAGCUGGAGUGCAGGAGAGGUAAGCGGAAUUUCUAGUGUAGCGGUGAAAUGCGUAGAGAUUAGGAGGAACACCAGUGGCGAAGGCGGCUUACUGGACUGUAACUGACGUUGAGGCUCGAAAGCGUGGGGAGCAAACAGGAUUAGAUACCCUGGUAGUC